rnacentral:rRNA from 1 species
AAAAGAGGGCGUCUUUAGCGGAGCUCUCGCUCCUAGAUGGGCUCGCGGCCUAUCAGCUUGUUGGUGAGGUAACGGCUCACCAAGGCGAUGACGGGUAGCUGGUCUUAGAGGAUGAUCAGCCACACGGGGACUGAGACACGGCCCCGACUCCUACGGGAGGCAGCAGUGGGGAAUUUUGGACAAUGGGCGAAAGCCUGAUCCAGCGACGCCGCGUGCGGGAGGAAGCCCUUCGGGGUGUAAACCGUUGUCAGGAGGGAAGAACAGGUUCGGGCGAAUAACCCGGACUGCUGACGGUACCUCCAGAGGAAGCGCCGGCUAACUCCGUGCCAGCAGCCGCGGUAAUACGGAGGGCGCAAGCGUUGUCCGGAAUUACUGGGCGUAAAGGGGGCGCAGGCGGCUUGUUAAGUCCUGUGUGAAAGCCCGCGGCUCAACCGCGGAAAGCCACAGGAUACUGGCAAGCUUGAGAUGGGUAGAGGCGAGUGGAAUUCCCGGUGUAGCGGUGGAAUGCGUAGAUAUCGGGAAGAACACCAGUGGCGAANGCGACUCGCUGGGCCCGUUCUGACGCUCANGCCCGAAAGCGUGGGGAGCAAACAGGAUUAGAUACCCUGGUAGUCCACGCCGUAAACGAUGGGCACUAGGUGCUGGGGAGUGUGACCUUUUCGGUGCCGUAGCUAACGCGUUAAGUGCCCCGCCUGGGGAGUACGGCCGCAAGGCUGAAACUCAAAGGAAUUGACGGGGGCCCGCACAAGCGGUGGAGCAUGUGGUUUAAUUCGAUGCAACGCGAAGAACCUUACCUGGGCUUGACAUGCUAGGGAACUCGGGUGGAAACAUCCGGGGUCCUUCGGGACCCUAGCACAGGUGCUGCAUGGCUGUCGUCAGCUCGUGUCGUGAGAUGUUGGGUUAAGUCCCGCAACGAGCGCAACCCUUACCUGUAGUUGCCAGCGGAUCAUGCCGGGGACUCUACAGGGACUGCCGGUGAUAAACCGGAGGAAGGUGAGGACGACGUCAAGUCAUCAUGGCCCUUACGCUCAGGGCGACACACGUGCUACAAUGGUCGGUACAAUGGGCUGCAAUCCUGCGAGGGUGAGCCAAUCCCAAAAAGCCGGCCUAAGUUCGGAUCGGAGUCUGCAACUCGACUCCGUGAAGCCGGAAUCGCUAGUAAUCGCGGAUCAGCCACGCCGCGGUGAAUACGUUCCCGGGCUUUGUACACACCGCCCGUCACGCCAUGGAAGCCGGGGGGACCCGAAGUCAGUGGCCCAACCUUCGGGAGGGAGCUGCCUAAGGUCAAUCCGGUGACUGGGGCGAAGUCGUAACAAGGUAACCUUAAUUAAAA